rnacentral:rRNA from 1 species
UGGGGAAUAUUGCACAAUGGGCGCAAGCCUGAUGCAGCCAUGCCGCGUGUGUGAAGAAGGCCUUCGGGUUGUAAAGCACUUUCAGCGAGGAGGAAGGUGGUGAACUUAAUACGUUCAUCAAUUGACGUUACUCGCAGAAGAAGCACCGGCUAACUCCGUGCCAGCAGCCGCGGUAAUACGGAGGGUGCAAGCGUUAAUCGGAAUUACUGGGCGUAAAGCGCACGCAGGCGGUUUGUUAAGUCAGAUGUGAAAUCCCCGGGCUCAACCUGGGAACUGCAUUUGAAACUGGCAAGCUAGAGUCUCGUAGAGGGGGGUAGAAUUCCAGGUGUAGCGGUGAAAUGCGUAGAGAUCUGGAGGAAUACCGGUGGCGAAGGCGGCCCCCUGGACGAAGACUGACGCUCAGGUGCGAAAGCGUGGGGAGCAAACAGGAUUAGAUACCCCUGGUAGUCCACGCUGUAAAACGAUGUCGAUUUUGGAGGUUGUGCCCUUGAGGCGUGGCUUCCGGAGCUAACGCGUUAAAUCGACCGCCU